rnacentral:rRNA from 1 species
GCUAGCGUUGUUCGGAAUCACUGGGCGUAAAGCGCGCGUAGGCGGCUUUGCAAGUGCGGCGUGAAAGUCCUGGGCUCAACCUGGGGACGGCGCUGCAGACUGCAUGGCUGGAGUCCGGAAGAGGGUGGUGGAAUUCCGAGUGUAGAGGUGAAAUUCGUAGAUAUUCGGAGGAACACCGGUGGCGAAGGCGGCCACCUGGUCCGGCACUGACGCUGUAGCGCGAAAGCGUGGGGAGCAAACAGG